AUGCAGUCGAGCGGUAGAUAAAAGCUUGCUUUUAUCUAUAGCGGCGGACGGGUGAGUAACACGUGGGCAACCUGCCUCAAAGUGGGGGAUAGCCUUCCGAAAGGAAGAUUAAUACCGCAUAAUAUCAUGGAGUCACAUGACACUAUGAUUAAAGGAGUAAUCCGCUUUGAGAUGGGCCCGCGGCGCAUUAACUAGUUGGUGAGGUAACGGCUCACCAAGGCGACGAUGCGUAGCCGACCUGAGAGGGUGAUCGGCCACAUUGGAACUGAGAUACGGUCCAGACUCCUACGGGAGGCAGCAGUGGGGAAUAUUGCGCAAUGGGGGAAACCCUGACGCAGCAACGCCGCGUGGGUGAUGAAGGUCUUCGGAUUGUAAAGCCCUGUCUUUGGGGACGAUAAUGACGGUACCCAAGGAGGAAGCCACGGCUAACUACGUGCCAGCAGCCGCGGUAAUACGUAGGUGGCAAGCGUUGUCCGGAUUUACUGGGCGUAAAGGGUGCGUAGGUGGAUAUUUAAGUCAGAUGUGAAAUCCCCGGGCUUAACCUGGGAAGUGCAUUUGAAACUGGAUAUCUUGAGUGCAGGAGAGGUAAGUGGAAUUCCUAGUGUAGCGGUGAAAUGCGUAGAGAUUAGGAAGAACACCGGUGGCGAAGGCGACUUACUGGACUGUAACUGACACUGAGGCACGAAAGCGUGGGUAGCAAACAGGAUUAGAUACCCUGGUAGUCCACGCUGUAAACGAUGAGUACUAGGUGUAGGGGGUAUCGAUCCCUUCUGUGCCGCAGUUAACACAAUAAGUACUCCGCCUGGGAAGUACGAUCGCAAGAUUAAAACUCAAAGGAAUUGACGGGGGCCCGCACAAGCAGCGGAGCAUGUGGUUUAAUUCGAAGCAACGCGAAAAUCCUUACCUGGACUUGACAUCCCCUGAAUAGCCGAGAGAUUGGUGAAGCCCUUCGGGCAGGAGACAGGUGGCUGCAUGGUUGUCGUCAGCUCGUGUCUUGAGAUGUUAGGUUACGUCC
rnacentral:rRNA from 1 species